GUCCACGGCCAUGCUACCCCGGACAAGCCCGAUCUCGUCUGAUCUCAGAAGCUAAGGAGAGUCGGGCCUGGUUAGUACUUGGAUGGGAGACCACCUAGGAAGGCCAGGUGCUGCAGGCG
rfam:Pteropus alecto contig16841, whole genome shotgun sequence.